UACGGAGGGAGCUAGCGUUAUUCGGAAUUACUGGGCGUAAAGCGCACGUAGGCGGCUUUGUAAGUUAGAGGUGAAAGCCUGGAGCUCAACUCCAGAAUUGCCCUUGAUACUGCAUGGCUUGAAUCUAGGAGAGGUGAGUGGAAUUCCGAGUGUAGAGGUGAAAUUCGUAGAUAUUCGGAAGAACACCAGUGGCGAAGGCGGCUCACUGGACUGGUAUUGACGCUGAGGUGCGAAAAGCGUGGGGAGCAAACAGG
rnacentral:rRNA from 1 species